rnacentral:rRNA from 1 species
GGAGGGGGAGGGCGGGUGAGAGGAGAGAAGGGGCGGAGGGAAGGUACUUUUGGGAUCGGCGGUGAUAGGCGGCUCGAGAGAACGGCGGCCGCCGGUUCGGGGAAGCGGUAGAGGAAUCGGGUCGGCCAGCGGCGGAGGCAGCAAGAGAUCCAUCCGUCGGCGAAGAAGAAGUGACUCGGGGCAGACGUAGCACGAACCGCGCUCGCAGAUCCUAAAGAUUGGUGAUCGCGGACUGUGGUGGCCUACCCCCGCCGGUCACGAGGUGGGGAACUGCGGCGGUUUAGGGGCAUCGCCUUCUGUAGCUGCUCCUGCGGCUGUUCCGUCGCGGCGGACAGCUGGCACACACGGAGGACGGUGGUGGUGGUUCUAGACCCUCUUUCUCAUCCUCCGUCUCUCCCUCUACCCCACCAUUCUUCUCUCCCACUCCUUCCUCCUUUUCCUCUAGGAGCGCCGUGAGUACCACCAGCGGGUCUAGGGUCGCCCCCACCGUAAGGUUGAGGUUGUACGAGACACAACAAGAUUUCUAAGGAAGUGCCGACGGAGGGUCGGUUUAGGUCGGCGGUUGGUCGUGCGCGAGCGGAACCAGAGGAGAAAGAGGGACUACCGGAGAAGAGGAGGUACCACGAUUGGUUUGCCUUCCCUCGUGACUGUGGCCCAUUGGCAACUACUACAAAUUUUUUCUGUGGUGGUUAUCGUCUCGUGAGAUAACGACGUUAAUGUACGUCGGGGAAGAGGCCUGUUCGUUUUCAGCACCGACGUUACCUAUGGCUAAUCUAAGAGCUGGUUCCAAACGGGCCCGGACGUAGGAGGUUAUUGUUCUUCUACACGGGUGGAUAGUUCUCCAAGAUUACUAGAACGUCAGUCUCCCUUUUAUUUGAGUGUUUUUAUACUCGGUCCACUGGUACUAGGUGAAGGUCGUUUAAACUGAAUAACGAGGGAUAACCCUUAUAAAUAAAAGAGUACAACAAAUAAGGAAACGUGUUUCCUUGACGUAACAACUUAGGUUUCCAUCGAUUUAGUACCCUUACGUUUUAACGUAUAAAUAGGUACACCCACACCUAAAAAUAUGAAACAACACUAAAUCUUUCACAUUAAAGUUACUGUAAGUCAACAUUAACGAGUCGGUUUAUUGGGUGCAUGCAACAAUUAGACUUCUGUUUAAUGUGUCAAGAGAGAAUUAUGACAGCAACGUAGUACACUCUGUUCAAUGAGGUCAACAUGUAUCCAUAGGUAGUAAAGGGAGUUCAUAGUUCACACCGACUAUACAACGAGAGUGGAUAUAGUAGAAAAAGAACGUCCGUGGAAUAAGAAAGUCGACGUUAUAAAUAAACCUAGAGAGUCAACACUUCACGGUAGUACACAGUUUUUGCGGGAAUAUAAUAUCCUGUCUCCCUCAUAAAUAUGAGACGUGCGUGUUACAAUGGCUAAACAAAAGUCAGCGUCAUACGGUAGAUAGACUUAAAACCUAUCGAACGUAUCACGGAUUAUUCAAGUACUCGAUUAAUAUUAUAAUAAAUAUCUCGAAGGUAUAUUAGUAAUCCUACUACUUCGUACAUUCAUAACAGUGAUGAUUAACGUAAUCGAAGCGGAGUCUUGAACCUUCCUCCUUCAUCUCAAUAGUUGUUACUAGUUGAUACUCCAUGGUAUCUAUAGCUGCAAACGUCUCGUAACAAAGGUUAACAGACAAUAGAGUAACACAAAUACUCGCCUAUGUAGAGGACAUUGGAAAUAAGAAUGUCAACGACUAUACUUGAUGAACCGAUAAAUAUCUUAAAUACUGAAAUACAAACAUGAUAAACUACGUUUAGUCAACAGGAGCCGCUUGU